CCAGCUAAUGCUGUUUGCUGUGAGCUAUUCUCUUUGUUUGGAUAGUCCUAAUUAUUACAAGGUUAACCUAAUUAUGCCUGAGAUCCUGAUUUCACACGCAUUAUGUUGCUACAUUUUAAAUGCCCGAGACCUACAUGAGGUUCCAUAGUUUGUUGGCUUCUGAUGAGCUUCACAUUGCUAAUUGUUUGUAUCACUGUUACUAACCCUGUUUUGCUGAAAAUUGAAAUUGUAUGCCUGACUUGGAAACAGUAGUUGAACACAAGGUGAUUGAUUAUAUUGCUAUAACAAUUAUAACAUUGAUUUAUAUUUCUUAAUUGCUUAUUAUCAUUUUUAUUUUAUUUGGUUUUAUAUCUAUUUUCAGUUAUUGAUUCUUUACUAGCCACUAAAAUUCCUAUAAUUUUAGGUUGAUGUUUUUAUGGGAUUAAGAUGAAGGAGUUUUAUUUUGGUGCUGUUUCAGUGAAUGAAUUUUGAAUUGCACUUUGAUAUCUGGAUGAUUUACAGGAGUACUCAACAUGGAUGAACAUGAUUUUGAUAUAAUAUACCAAUACACCAUACAUAUUUUUCGUAAAUUUUUAUUAUUAUCUUAUUAUAAAUGAUUUUGUAUUCAUUUCAUCUUUAAUAUGUAUGUUUGUAAUGAUUUUCAUAUCAUGUAUGUGUAAUAAUACAAAUCCUAUAGAUAUGUUGUCUUCAUCUCACUGCGAAGUGCGGAGCUAAAAAUGCUACUUACAGAACAGAGGGAGAAACUGGAGACUGCUGCCAGCUGAUCGAAUUUCCAGGCCAAACUUUUAUGAAUUUUGCCCUAUGUUAUCUUAAAUGUGCUCUAAAAAUAGUACUCGAUUUCUGGUGUGAAGUAGUUCUAUGCAUUGCCAGCUAUUUGGCGUGAUUUUGUGUUCUUUUGGCUUUGAUGUAUAUUUAAUGAUUUUCAGGGUGGGCAUUGGGUGACAUCUGCUGAAAACAAGUGAAGAACUAAUUUCUCAUAUGAGUCCGUCGAGUGAAAUUUACUAGCAUUGCAGGAUAAUUGAUUAUGCUCCACUGAUCAUGUAUACAAAAGCAGGAUAUAUAUUGUCAAGACCGACAAUAUAUUGGUUUUGUUAACAUUGCAGAAACGUAAAUAUUUAUUGCUCAAGCAACGUCCAAUCACUGAUAGUUCUUCAGAUAGAAUAUAACCUUCACGGCCAACUGUGAAGAAGGUGAUGAUACUAAUGCUCAGUCUCAGUUGCAAACUUCUAGAACUUCUAGAUAUCAUUGGAAUUAUCAAAAUACAUGAUGAUCUGAGGGAGAUCAAAAACAGACAUGAAAACAGACAAAGGCAAGCCAAAUCUAUCAGAGAUACAUAUGUACAUCUGAUGAGUAAAAUAAUUGUUUGCUUCUGGCCUACGUAUUAUUAUUGUAUGGCAUUCUAUUUUUAUGUAAAAUUAGUUGUAUAACAUAACCAACAUGUUUUCUGCUGUGUAUACAAUGAUUUAAUAACAGUACUAAAUUUGAGUUUCGA